rnacentral:rRNA from 1 species
AUUGAACGCUGGCGGCAGGCCUAACACAUGCAAGUCGAGCGGAGCGGAGGACGGGUGAGUAAUGCCUAGGAAUCUGCCUGGUAGUGGGGGAUACAGUCCGGAAACGGGCGCUAAUACCGCAUACUAUCAAAUGAACAUAGGGCGGAGUAGCUAGUUGGUGGGGUAAAGGCCUACCAAGGCGACGAUCAGUAACUGGUCUGAGAGGAUGAUCAGUCACCUGGUGACUGAGACACUGUCCAGACUCCUACGUGAGGCAGCAGUGGGGAAGAUUGGACAAUGGGGGGAAGCCGGGUCCAGCCACGGCGCGUGUGUGAAGAAGGUGUUAGGAUUGUAAAGCACUUUAGGUUGGGAAGCGGUACCAACAGAGUAAGCACCGGCUAUGUUCGUGGCAGCCGCCGCGGUAAUAC